CCCUAGUAGUAGAGGAUAGCCCGGCGAAAGUCGGAUUAAUACUCUAUGUUUUCCAAGUGCAGACAUCUAAGUUGGAACAAAGGUUUACCGCUAUAGGAUGGGGAUGCGUCUGAGUUAGGUUGUUGGCGGGGUAACGGCCCACCAAGCCUACGAUCAGUAGGGGUUCUGAGAGGAAGGUCCCCCACAUUGGAACUGAGACACGGUCCAAACUCCUACGGGAGGCAGCAGUGAGGAAUAUUGGUCAAUGGGCGAGAGCCUGAACCAGCCAAGUAAGCGUGCAGGAUGACGGCCCUAUGGGUUGUAAACUGCUUUUAUACGGGGAUAAAGUGAGGGACGUGUCCCUUUUUGUAGGUACCGUAUGAAUAAGGACCGGCUAAUUCCGUGCCAGCAGCAGC
rnacentral:rRNA from 1 species